AUUGAACGCUGGCGGCAGGCCUAACACAUGCAAGUCGAGCGAGCGGCGGGCGGGUGAGUAAUGUAUGGGAACUGCUCGAUAGAGGGGGAUAACUACUGGAAACGGUGGCUAAUACCGCAUACUAGCGGAUAACCCAUAUGGGAUUAGCUAGUAGGUAGGGUAAAGGCUCACCUAGGCGACGAUCCCUGGCUGGUCUGAGAGGAUGAAGGGCCACAUUGGAACUGGGACACGGCCCAGACUCCUACGGAGGCAGCAGUGGGGAAUAUUGCGCAAUGGGCGCAAGCCUGAUGCAGCAAUGCCGCGUGUGUGAAGAAGGCCUUAGGGUUGUAAAAUUCUUUCAGUGGGGAGGCGUUACCCGCAGAAGAAGCACCGGCUAACUCCGUGCCAGCAGCCGCGGUAAUUC
rnacentral:rRNA from 1 species